GCAUGAGCAAAGAGGUCAAGAAGAAAGUAAUAUCGAGCUACGAUCUCUCGUUAGUUAAGUCUUUCCAGAAGAAAAAUCGAGGAGAGUCGUCGUUGUUAGGUCGUACUAUCCCCCAGCUCGGGCAGCAAGAUCAACAAGCUAUAGCAGCUUUGCGUUUAGAACAACAAUUGAAGGUCGCUAAGUUAUGUCAGAGACAUGUCUCUCUCUUGGUGAAGUCCUAGGGCAAGUUGA
rnacentral:lncRNA from 1 species